rnacentral:rRNA from 1 species
UACAGAGACUGCAAGCGUUAUUCGGAUUCACUGGGCGUAAAGGGUGCGCAGGCGGCCGUGUGUGUGAGGCGUGAAAGCCCGAUGCUUAACAUCGGAAUUGCACCUCAAACUACACGGCUAGAGUAUUGGAGAGGGUAGCGGAAUUCACGGUGUAGCAGUGAAAUGCGUAGAUAUCGUGAGGAACACCAGAGGCGAAGGCGGCUACCUGGACAAUUGCUGACGCUCAGGCACGAAAGCGUGGGGAGCAAAAGGG